rnacentral:rRNA from 1 species
AACGAACGCUGGCGGCAUGCCUAACACAUGCAAGUCGAACGAGACCUUCGGGUCUUGUGGCGCAUGGGUGCGUAACGCGUGGGAACCUGCCCUUAGGUUUGGAAUAACUCUCCGAAAGGGGUGCUAAUACCGGAUAAUGUCUUAGGACCAAAGAUUUAUCGCCUUUGGAUGGGCCAGCGUUGGAUUAGCUAGUUGGUAGGGUAAAAGCCUAACAAGGCGACGAUCCAUAGCUGGUCUGAGAGGAUGAUCAGCCACACUGGGACUGGGACACGGCCCGGACUCCUACGGGAUGCAGCAGUGGGGAAUAUUGGACAAUGGGCGGAAGCCUGAUCCAGCUAUGCCGCGUGAGUGAUGAAGUCCUUGAGGUUGUAAAGCUCUUUUACCCGUGAUGAUAAUGACAGUACCGAGAGAAUAAGCUCCGGCUAACUCCGUG